rnacentral:lncRNA from 1 species
GCCUUGUGCACAUCCCAAGUAGAGGGUUGUUCCGAUCGAUAGGUCAGCUCCAUAACACUUGCGCCCCCUACUGAGUUUGAAGUGGCUUUAUAGCUUCAAGCAAAGGAAGUAGUUGACAUGGUAACUGACCGCUGAUCUAAUUCCCUCUUAGAAGCAUCUGCUUUACUAUACUCGGAGGAAGGAGCUUCUGGAGUUAAGUGAUGUGUUGCUUCAUGAUUCAUGCCGCCAUUAUUAAAGAAGGGAGCUCGAGGGGUUACAGAAUAAUAUCUUGAAAAGAGGAGAUCUGAAUAUUGUUUUCAAAUUCACCACAUGUCAGAUACUGGUGAGCUCUAAGGCGCACUUUGUAGAUUACCUCAUGUGGCUCAAUCUAAGAAGGAUGCAUCGAAGGUCCAUGAAAAUAUUGGUCAAGUGGCAAGAUUUGAUAGUUCGAUGGCUGAAUGUGUGCUGUCGGUGAUCCCUAUAAAUAGACCAUCCAUCC